ensembl:lncRNA
UAAUCCUCAUAUAAUACUUGAUGUGAGUGUUUGUGUGUGUGUGUGUUUGUGUUUUUGGAGAAAUUUGCUAUUUUCCUGAACUAUGACUGCUAUAGCUAACUGUAGCUGCCUUAUGUAUUAGCCUAACAUAAAUAUUAGCUGCGCUGUAUAAGCUACAAGACUAUGAAGGUAUGUGUUUACAUCUACCUUGUAUAUAAUCUAUCUGUGUAACGUAAUAUGUUCUCGGGUGUCUGCAUUGUAUUUGUAAGUUGUAAGUGUCGUUUGACAGUAUAUGUCUUAUGUUAGUAUAUAUUGGCUUUGAACUGAACGUUUUACAAACGUGGUGAUAUAGCUAAUAAUAAUCUGUUAAUAAUCAGUGUGCAUUCAUGUGUUUGGAGGAAUGGCUUUGCAGGGGAGACUGAAGGAAGGGGCUGGGAUUUUUUUUUCAGUUUUAUACUUUGAAAAUCUAGUUUACUCUUGCUGGUUUCUCCAACAUUGCCUACCCAACCUUUAGGGUGUAGGGGAGUGAGGUGAACUCACUGCACAACACUGUACCCCCUGGCUCUCCUUACACUCCCCCCACUAAAUAUCACUCCCAAUCCAGGUCACAGCACCAAUAUGACCUGCGUUGGGUAGAGAAGCACAGUCCCCUACUGGACACAUUUCACGUUUGCACUCAGUUCCAGUGCGAGGCCUGGGUUUUUAAGAAUAAAGGCUUUAGAGGAAGAUUACAUUGUUCCUUGGAUGUCCUGAGUGGGGAAUUUGGGAUGGGAUGGUUUUAGUAAGGGCAUGUGUAUGUGUGUGUGUCAUCCUCUAUGGAAGAUUUACACUUGCUAUUUUGAUGAUUGUAUAUACAUUUAUAUAUAUAAUGUAAGUAUACUCAAGUUCUUAAGGUUUAUUUCUAAACUAGACCAUUGCAAUGCCAUUGUAACGGGCCUGCCAGCAUGUGUAGUGAGUCUGCUGCAGAUGAUUCAGAAUGUGGCAGUGCAUUUAGCCUUUGAUCAGCCAAAGAGGACACAUGUAACUCCUCCGCUAGUCACCCUGGAGCUCCACACACACACACAC